GUGGGGAAUAUUGGACAAUGGGCGAAAGCCUGAUCCAGCAAUGCCGCGUGAGUGAUGAAGGCCUUAGGGUUGUAAAGCUCUUUUACCCGGGAAGAUAAUGACUGUACCGGGAGAAUAAGCCCCGGCUAACUCCGUGCCAGCAGCCGCGGUAAUACGGAGGGGGCUAGCGUUGUUCGGAAUUACUGGGCGUAAAGCGCACGUAGGCGGUUUUGUAAGUUAGAGGUGAAAGCCUGGGGAUCAACCCCAAAAUUGCCUUUAAGACUGCAUCACUUGAACGUCGGAGAGGUGAGUGGAAUUCCGAGUGUAGAGGUGAAAUUCGUAGAUAUUCGGAAGAACACCAGUGGCGAAGGCGGCUCACUGGACGACUGUUGACGCUGAGGUGCGAAAGCGUGGGGAACAAACAGGAUUAGAAACCCCGGUAGUCC
rnacentral:rRNA from 1 species